rfam:Myotis brandtii contig212661, whole genome shotgun sequence.
UGCUGUUCUCGGGUGACGCACCCUGGAACCAGAGAGGAUGGAGCCUGAUUCCAGGGUGCAUCACCCGAGAACCACC